CUUGUGGGGACAUUUGGUCCCCAUAACGUGAUAAAUACCAGGUGCACACACACACAUACACACAAUGCAGUCUCUGAAGACAAAGAAACCUAAAGAUGUGUAUGUCUUGCGUCUAUUUAUAACCUUCAGGUGCACAUAAUCAAAUGACAUCAGCUGCCGAGGUUAUUUAAGCCAAUUAUUGGCGUGUUUGACACACAUGCUGCACAACCAGUCAAAAAAAAAAAUUUCUCAGCACUUUUCAGCACAGCAUCGAGAUUAGCUUUUGAAAGCGAACACGCAGUUGCUAAACGCAUAGAGGACAUCGCUCUACAGGAAGUAACAGAAUUUUGCUCAUCCAUCACAGAAUGGAUUGCAUAUGAUUGUGGGAUGUCAAAGGCAGUGAAGGAUACGGUACAUCUGUGCUCCCUUCAAAAAGCAGAUGACGUCGCAAGAAAUAAAGCUAACUUGAUUGGGACAUGCCUUGAUGCUUUACUACCUUGAAAUACGUCCUCCCAAGGCAGCAUUUUUCAGUUUUCGGGCGCAACCAUUAAAUAUUGUUAGUGAGUGCUGGAAAAUUACAUUCUAUAUGAUUCACGUUAUUAAAUGUCAUCUUUCAUAUCAAAUUCUUACAUUUUAUUAAUAAUUUUGUUUAUUAAGACACUAUAGGGCUAUUCCAAAUCAACUGAAAUCAGUUUCAGCAACAUUGAUCUUUCAUGAAAUUUAAAGGAGUCUUUCGAGAAACAGAAGCAGCCAAAAAUUAAUGGUAUUUUUCAUGCAUUCACGCAUUAAUACACAAAUAUGAAGUUUUAGGAAGAAAUGCAAAGAUAUGCUACUUUUAGAUUUUAAAGUACACCGCUGCUUCGAGAUGCACAACACUGCUGUGAUCUUUGUUUGGAGCCAUUAACAUCGAGCAGAAACGGUCAGAGUUCACAACACAGUCAACGCGCCAAUGUGGCUAAAAGGAGUGAUGCGUUAAAAGCCACUGCAGAAUUUGGCUUGGUGGAUGUUAAUGUUAAGCCCUGUCUGUAAGUAGAAUUCAGAUAUCAAGAGAGAAGACAUUUACAUGUAAGCUAACUUUUAUUUGGCUAACUUUAGCUCUUUAGGGUACUUCCAUCCUAUUACACAGAUCAUCUUGUUUGGCAUUCUAUUAAUUUUCAUUCCAUAGUGUAAUUAAUUUAUGACAAGUUUAAGUAUCUGAGCCUGCAAAGGUACACACCUUUGAAUAUAUAACAACUUGUACUUUUCUUGUUACCAGAUACAACAAAAUAAAAAAUACAAAUUGCUUCCUGACUUACCUUAUUAGCCUUGAAGCACCGUUCAGUGCAACUCACACAGGAGGUGUGUCAUCAUCACUACUUAACCCAGUUACAGGAAAUGUUUUGCUUUACCAAAGAACAUUACAUCACCUCGACAUUUUAGUUACAACAAAAGCAGGGGCCUUUACCUUUAAAUCUUUCAAAGACACAUGGACAGUCAAAUACUACUUUAUUGAACUUAACAUGUUCUUAUGGUGUACUUGAGCCUGAAUAAUCUGAUUCUGUGAAUUAAAUUAACAGCUCAACUUAACUAUUUGAUCUUCUGAAUGAUUCAUUACUAGACCUAAAACACCUUAUUGUAAUACUUUACAAUAAGGUUCAUUAGUUAACAACAUUAGUUAAC